rnacentral:rRNA from 1 species
UUCGACAGGCUUAACACAUGCAAGUCGAGGGGCAGCACAGGUAGUAAUACCGGGUGGCGACCGGCGCACGGGUGAGUAACGCGUAUGCAACUUACCUAUCAGAGGGGGAUAACCCGGCGAAAGUCGGACUAAUACCGCAUGAAGCAGGGGCCCCGCAUGGGGAUAUUUGCUAAAGAUUCAUCGCUGAUAGAUAGGCAUGCGUUCCAUUAGGCAGUUGGCGGGGUAACGGCCCACCAAACCGACGAUGGAUAGGGGUUCUGAGAGGAAGGUCCCCCACAUUGGUACUGAGACACGGACCAAACUCCUACGGGAGGCAGCAGUGAGGAAUAUUGGUCAAUGGCCGAGAGGCUGAACCAGCCAAGUCGCGUGAGGGAUGAAGGUUCUAUGGAUCGUAAACCUCUUUUAUAAGGGAAUAAAGUGCGGGACGUGUCCCGUUUUGUAUGUACCUUAUGAAUAAGGAUCGGCUAACUCCGUGCCAGCAGCCGCGGUAAUACGGAGGAUCCGAGCGUUAUCCGGAUUUAUUGGGUUUAAAGGGUGCGUAGGCGGCCUUUUAAGUCAGCGGUGAAAGUCUGUGGCUCAACCAUAGAAUUGCCGUUGAAACUGGGGGGCUUGAGUAUGUUUGAGGCAGGCGGAAUGCGUGGUGUAGCGGUGAAAUGCAUAGAUAUCACGCAGAACCCCGAUUGCGAAGGCAGCCUGCCAAGCCAUGACUGACGCUGAUGCACGAAAGCGUGGGGAUCAAACAGGAUUAGAUACCCUGGUAGUCCACGCAGUAAACGAUGAUCACUAGCUGUUUGCGAUACACUGUAAGCGGCACAGCGAAAGCGUUAAGUGAUCCACCUGGGGAGUACGCCGGCAACGGUGAAACUCAAAGGAAUUGACGGGGGCCCGCACAAGCGGAGGAACAUGUGGUUUAAUUCGAUGAUACGCAAGGAACCUUACCCGGGUUUGAACGCAUUCGGACCGAGGUGGAAACACCUUUUCUAGCAAUAGCCGUUUGCGAGGUGCUGCAUGGUUGUCGUCAGCUCGUGCCGUGAGGUGUCGGCUUAAGUGCCAUAACGAGCGCAACCCUUGCCACUAGUUACUAACAGGUGAUGCUGAGGACUCUGGUGGGACUGCCAGCGUAAGCUGCGAGGAAGGCGGGGAUGACGUCAAAUCAGCACGGCCCUUACAUCCGGGGCGACACACGUGUUACAAUGGCGUGGACAAAGGGAGGCCACCUGGCGACAGGGAGCGAAUCCCCAAACCACGUCUCAGUUCGGAUCGGAGUCUGCAACCCGACUCCGUGAAGCUGGAUUCGCUAGUAAUCGCGCAUCAGCCAUGGCGCGGUGAAUACGUUCCCGGGCCUUGUACACACCGCCCGUCAAGCCAUGGGAGCCGGGGGUACCUGAAGUACGUAACCGCAAGGAGCGUCCUAGGGUAAAACUGGUGACUGGGGCUA